rnacentral:rRNA from 1 species
CGUGCAGGCGGGUUGGCAAGUCUGAUGUGAAAGCCCUGGGCUCAACCUGGGAAGUGCAUUGGAAACUGCCAAUCUUGAGUUCUGGAGAGGAAGGGGGAAUUCCCGGUGUAGAGGUGAAAUUCGCAGAGAUCGGGAGGAAUACCAGUGGCGAAGGCGCCCUUCUGGACGGCAACUGACGCUGAGACGCGAAAGCGUGGGGAGCAAACAGGAUUAGAUACCCUGGUAGUCCACGCUGUAAACGAUGAGCACUAGGUGUAGCGGGUACUCAUUCCUGCUGUGCCGCAGCUAACGCGUUAAGUGCUCCGCCUGGGGAUUACGGUCGCAAGACUAAA